GAAAGAGGGUGAGAUACCUGAUAAUACAAACUUAUCUCUCCACAGAACUGUGGGGUUGGAGCUGAGAAGCCAUCAACCACUGUAAUGUCAAGCCAGCUGAAAGAGCCCUGACAGCAAAAAAUGGAGAAGGAAAAGCGCAUGAGGGUCUAACAGAGAUAAAACCUCUUAAAUCAGUUUUCCCAGUAAGCUGUUAUGAAUUAUGUGAACUGCACAGAACAGAAGGCCAGGAAGUGAACCCAGAGGAGCAUCAGACAAUUACCAUUAUGUUUGAUGUGUAUUUAUUUAAUUGAUGUGGUAAAGACAAUACUUUGGAGCAAUAAAUCACACCCUAAGUUGUUAUUUA
rnacentral:lncRNA from 1 species